AUGGGUAAACCAUCACAUAUUUUAUGCAUUAAGAUCAAUGUUUUGCAUUCAUGUAUUAUUGCCAAUCUAGUAAUUAUGUAUAUUUUUGGGUUCAGAACAAGUCCCCCACGACAUGGUAAGGAGGAGGCAUAUUCAACAGGAAUAGUUUCCUUUUUCCCCUAUCUGGCUGACCGCAAAAGCAAGACAGACUGCCCACCAUUAUAAUGCAGAAGACUGGAGUGGCUACUUGGUAUGGCGACUGAAGCACCUGCAAAAGGAGGCUGCAGAGUGAAGAAUACAUUCACUAGCGGAUGGGUCAGCUAGUUGGCAUGCAUAAGUCUUUUAUUUGAGUGUGUAUGGUUUGUGCUCGCUCGGGUGUAGGCAUGUGACGGUGUGUUCACAAGGGAGUGAGACUUGUUUUUUACGUGUUUUUCUCACGAUUCAGUGUAAUGGGGUUUGGUUGGACUGUUUUGUGUGUGUUUUGUGUUCCUGUCCUUUUUCAUCUUUUGUUUGAAGGUGGACCAGCUGUAGACAGAAGACUGCUGAGUGAAGAAGGGCAGUGCCGAGAGCCAUCGCACUGAUGAAACGCACGUCUGAUGAAGCAACCGUAAAAUAAAAUAUAUUUUUCAAUUUAACCUUUAUUUAACUACUGUAGGCAAGUCAGUUAUGAACAAAUGUUUAUUUACAAUGACGGCCUACCGGGGAACAGUGGGUUUAGGGGCAGAAUGACAGAUUUGUACCUUGUCAGCUCGGGGAUUUGAUCCAGCAACCUUUCGGGUUACUGCCCAACACUCUAACCACUAGACUACCUGAAGCUGACCUUCGCCUAGCACCAAAAAAUGGUCCAUGACCCACAGAACACCUCUGACAUACUCAGUGUUUCUGCGGUUCCUGGACAUACCAGGCAUGGUAUGUAUGAAACGGACUCUGUCAACGCCAUAGCAUGCACGUGUGAGAAUGCAUAAAUGACAUGUUGAUGUAUUGUUUUCUCCAAAGCAUGACCAUGUCGCAGGGUGGCCAUUGCUAGAGCUAUUACCCUUCAAAGGCGACAGGACCAUGUCUUAGAAAUCUGGUAGCUGCAAUUUUGUCUUUGUGUGUCUUGUUUGUAGAUAGAGCAAGAUUUUGGACUGAUGUUUGGUGAUGCAACUUCCACAAAAUUCCUGAAGAAAUGGCCUACUGUCUUCAAACAGAAGGUCAUCUUGCAGAGCCAUGAACUCCCACUAAAAACUGAGCUUCAGGACCUGAUACACAAUGCUGAGUCCGCAGCUGAGGUGGAUAAUGGUACAGACAUACCACUUUACACUAUAAUAUGAAGUUCUAGUAUGGGCAUGUGGGAGGGAGAAGAAUUUUAGGAUUGUGGUAGAAAGCAAAGUGGGUUAAAUUAGUGU
rnacentral:lncRNA from 1 species